CCUACGGGUGGCAGCAGUAGGGAAUAUUGCUCAAUGGGGGAAACUCUGAAGCAGCAACGCCGCGUGGAGGAUGAAGGUUUUCUGAUUGUAAACUCCUUUUUUUAGAGAAGAUAAUGACGGUAUCUGCCUAAUACUCACCGUCUCACUCCGUUCCAGCCGCCGCGGUACUACGGAGGGUGCAAGCGUUACUCGGAAUCACUGGGCGUAAAGCGCGCGUAGGCGGGAUAGCAAGUCAGAUGUGAAAUCCUAUGGCUUAACCAUAGAACUGCAUUUGAAACUGUUAGGCUAGAGUAUGGGAGAGGUAGGUGGAAUUGUUGGUGUAGGGGUAAAAUCCGUAGAGAUCAAGAGGAAUACGCAUUGCGAAGGCGACCUGCUAGAACAUAACUGACGCUGAUGCGCGAAAGCGUGGGGAGCAAACAGGAUUAGAUACCCGGGUAGUC
rnacentral:rRNA from 1 species